GAUGUUCUCCUCCUUCUCCAGCAGGGUGCCGCGCUGCAGCUCCUGUGGUUGACAACAUCAAGGGUAGCAGGGCAUGAGUUUACGUGACGCGCGUGAAGUGACAGACGGACCGACGGCCAUUCGAGCGGUCAACACCCCACCCCCGAGCCCAGGAACGACACGUGCUGCAGCCCGAACCCCCUAAGCUGGUAUUGCGAUCUCUUUCCCCACACAUUCUGUCCAUGAUCCAUGUAAUCAACCGUGGAGCAAACGGAUCCCCGCGACCGCAACACCCCGCUGAAAUCGGCAUGUACUGGCUUUCUGGCUCGACGCCGUUCUGACGCACUGAUCGCCUAGCCAGCAUCCUUAUUUGCCAUCCCACAUGUCACUUGCUGCGUUCCCCUUCCCGUCGCGCGAUGAUCGCGCCGAAACUAAAUUUGCGCACCUGCACAGCGGCCAGGGGCCAGCCAGCGCCCUGCCACGCCAGCUUGGUGGCCAGGGGCACGUCAAUAAUGAUCUCCUUGUCAGUGGGCUUAGCCUCGCCCUUGACGGCAAUCAGGUACUGGCGACCGACGUAGCCGAUGUAGCCAGCAACGUAGAGGAAGCCAAAGGUGGGGAUCUGCAUGGCAAGCGAAUCGAGUGAGCUGCUGUCCACAGCGAGGAACACAACGCUGAACUUACGAAGACCUCGCCAGCGUGGCCAUACUUCAGGGCCAGGCCGGGGUCAGCAAUCAGGUGGGGCAGACCGUCGUUGCCGCACAGCAGGCCGGCCUUAGCGUAGUUGGCGAAGCGGGCCUUGGUGCGCUCCAUGGUGGCCUUCAGGGCCACGGCGGGGGCGCUGUCCGCCUCGUACUGCGCGCGCAAGCAAAGAAUCGGCAAGUUGAAUAGGAGGAUCACCAUAUCGCUUGCCUUGGAAGCCCGAGACCCCGGUUAAAAUAUUCACCUGCUUCAGGCGCUUCUCCAGGGUCUUCAGCUCCUUCUUCUCCAGCUUGGCGUAAGCCUUGCUCUCGGAGCAGGGGGUCAGGCCCGCGAUGUCGGCCAUCGCCGCGGAGGGGGCAGACAGCGACACGGCAGCGGCCAGAGCGGACGCAGCCAGGGCAG
rnacentral:lncRNA from 1 species